rnacentral:misc_RNA from 1 species
CCGAGUUAGGGUCUCCUCCGUGAGGCCCGACCUCCCAACCCCGUGUCUAAUAAACCUGUUUGUGUUGCUUCGGCGGAACGGCAGUCGUCCCUUCGGGGUCUACCGUCGCCGGGGGGCUUUCACGGUCUCACGACCGUGCCCCUGGAGAGCGUCCGCCGAUGGCCCAAUCAAAACUACCGAACCCAAACCAUGAACUAAAUAUUUUCUGAAUCAGACUUUUGAUAUACCAAUCAAAAACA